UGGGGAAUUUUGGACAAUGGGCGAAAGCCUGAUCCAGCAAUGCCGCGUGUGUGAAGAAGGCCUUCGGGUUGUAAAGCACUUUUGUCCGGAAAGAAAUCCUUGGCUCUAAUACAGUCGGGGGAUGACGGUACCGGAAGAAUAAGCACCGGCUAACUACGUGCCAGCAGCCGCGGUAAUACGUAGGGUGCAAGCGUUAAUCGGAAUUACUGGGCGUAAAGCGUGCGCAGGCGGUUUGCUAAGACCGAUGUGAAAUCCCCGGGCUCAACCUGGGAACUGCAUUGGUGACUGGCAGGCUAGAGUAUGGCAGAGGGAGGUAGAAUUCCACGUGUAGCAGUGAAAUGCGUAGAGAUGUGGAGGAAUACCGAUGGCGAAGGCAGCCCCCUGGGCCAAGUACUGACGCUCAUGCACGAAAGCGU
rnacentral:rRNA from 1 species